rnacentral:lncRNA from 1 species
ACGAAAGAUACCAAAGGGACAGUCAAACUCAUAAAUCUAAAACAAACUGACAACGCCAUGGCUAAAAAUAAAAAAGACAAACAGAAAAACAAUAGUACACACGACACAACAUAGAAAACUAAAGAAUAAACAACACGAACCCCACCAAAAACUAGGGGUGAUCUCAGGUGCUCUGGAAGGGUAAGCAGAUCCUGCUCCACAUGUGGCACCCGUCGUGUUGCUUAAGUGAUUACAAAUCCGGUAAAUAGUCUAAUUCGGUAGGUCAUAUUCAUGAAAGGGAAGGGGAUUGUAGUUACGACGUAAGGAACAUAUCCGAUAUCAUUUGUGAAACGGUUAUUCCAUAACGGUCAACC